rnacentral:lncRNA from 1 species
UUGUUUUUAUUAUAUAAACAUUUUUCAUACUUUUUUUGUUCAAAUCCCACUCUCAACAUAUUACUUUUUUGUGUUUCUCACAUAAACAUGGAGCAAACCAUAUUUUUUGCUGUGCUCAUACACUCUCAACAUAUUUUUUUUGUUUUCCUCUCAACAUAUUUUUUUCAUACUUUUUUGUUUUUCUCAUACAAACAUGGAGCAAACCAUAUUUUUUUUUUGUGCUCAUACACUCUCAACAUUUUUUUGUUUAUUUUCCUCAUAAAAACAUGGAGCAAAACCUGCUCGUUCGUUCCCUAAUUUAAUUCCCUAUUUUAUAUAUGUAUGUAAUAGUCAGUGCUUGUACCACUUGCUUGUACCACUGUCCUGCAUAAACAUGGAACAAACCAUGUUGGUUCCUUCCAAGUAAUUUAGGGGCUAUUUGGAUACUAUUUUGGACACAGAUUGCCUGACCUAUACCAUGUCUGCUUGCAGCCCUGGUUUCUUGGCAGGUCUGGACAUUCCAGACACACAAAAAAGUCUAAAACUAAUGUAUUUGUCUCUUCUUUUUCUCUUUUAGUAAAAAAUUCUAUUUUUCGCGAUGAAUUAUAUAAGGAAAAGGUACUAGCAUAUCACACCUCAAGCAUUUGUAAAGAACGAUCUAGAAUAUUGAAAAAUUAUGGCUAAUUUUCAGACUUUCCUUACCAAAACCUCCUCCCUGUCCGCCGUUGAUGGACAUCAGAACUAGGCAAACAAGACAUGCCUCCCAUCUCAACAAGGGACACCAAAACUUGGAUCUGUAGCACGAACCGUCCACCAUUUCAAAUCAAUGUUGUUGAAAGAGCAUCGACCUUCAAUGCACCAAGAAUAGAAUGGAAGAGGAAAUUAAAGAAGUCCACUACUAACCAAUAAAUUGACCUAAAUAACAAUUCACGGUUGCAAACCACGAAUCAUCCACCAUUUCAAAUCAAUGUUGUUGAAAGAGCAUCGACCGUCAAUGCACCAAGAAUAGAAUGGAAGAGGAAAUUAAAGAAGUCCACUACUAACCAAUAAAUUGACCUAAAUAACAAUUCACAGUUGCAAACCACAUCAGUAACCCAAAAGGGAAUCCAUUAGUGGGGAUGACAAGAUCUAUUCCAAAACAAAGUAGGAGAAGAAACUCACACUAUCGAUGUUGGAGAAAUUGAAGAAGCUCGCCAUGCCGCCUAUGAAGCCGAAGCGCCUAUGAUGCAUCUGCCCACACAAAUCAUUGGAGAUAAAGUUGGAGGAUGCCAAAGGACAUGUGAAACCAUCAACAUGGGUAAGUGGAAUCCUAAUAUACUAAAAUGCUAAACUAGUAGAUAAGGUUAUGUAAGGCCCUAUUUGUUUGAGCUUUUCCUGAGUCUCACUUAUAACCUAAGCAAGAUUAUCUCAUGAGCAACAAUUUGGAGAAUAUGCUGUCAGAAUACCUGAGCGUUUGACUAUGAAGAUUAUUUUAGCAGCUUGGUGGAGACCACCGAGACCCUAAGGGACGCGGCUUAGAGGAGGCGACGGGAGGAAGGUGGCCAACGGGAGCUCAGAGGAGGUACAUCUUGGAGUCCGAUGGAGGUCGCCUGCUAUUGGGAGGGACGAGACCACCGCCUACCGAGAGAGAGAGAGGUGGCAUCCUUCGGAAGGCCCAGAUCCGGUGGAGGCUGGCGUCCUAGAGGAGGUCGCCGACUGCCGGGGGGAGGUGACGUCCUUUGGGAGGCAAGAUCCAGCGAGAACUGCCCACCACCAGUGGAUCUAGGCAGCCAAGGCAGGGGAUGAAGCAACCGGGACGGAGGGAGGCGGUAAGGGUGGAGGGAGGCGGCGGGGGGAAGGAGCGCCUGCACGGGAGGAGGGGCAAGCACGAGCAGGUGGGGACGCGAGUCACAUUUUCUAAAUCAUGGGCUUGAUAUCGUGUUUUGAACAACACACUGCGAGCAAUGCUCCAACACGGUCGUGCAGUCGCGAUGAGCGGGCGGUC